rnacentral:rRNA from 1 species
UACGGAGGGAGCUAGCGUUAUUCGGAAUUACUGGGCGUAAAGCGUACGUAGGCGGCUUUGCAAGUUAGAGGUGAAAGCCUGGAGCUCAACUCCAGAACUGCCUUUAAAACUGCAUCGCUUGAAUCCAGGAGAGGUGAGUGGAAUUCCGAGUGUAGAGGUGAAAUUCGUAGAUAUUCGGAAGAACAUCAGUGGCGAAGGCGGCCUGCUGGGCUGUUGCUGACGCUGAGGCGCGACAGCGUGGGGAGCAAACAGG